rnacentral:rRNA from 2 species
UUUCCUUUGCUUGCAUUGGAAACUGGACAGCGGCGAAAGGGAGAGUAACGCGUGGAUUAUCUACCCUCGGGACCGGGAUAGCUGCGGGAAACUGCAGGUAAUACUGGAUAACAUCUCCGGAUCAAAUGGUGUGAUUCCGCCUGAGGAUGAGUCCGCGUCCUAUUAGCUUGUUGGUGAGGUAACAGCUCACCAAGGCUUCGAUGGGUACCGGGUGUGAGAGCAUGGCCCGGCUCACUGGGACUGAGACACUGCCCAGACACCUACGGGUGGCUGCAGUCGAGAAUCUUCGGCAAUGCGCGCAAGCGUGACCGAGCGACGCCGCGUGUGGGAUGAAGGCCUUCGGGUUGUAAACCACUGUCAGUUGGGAGGAAAUCCAUGGGGGCUAUCCCCCAUGGUUGACCUAUCAUCAGAGGAAGGACGGGCUAAGUUCGUGCCAGCAGCCGCGGUAAGACGAACCGUCCGAACGUUAUUCGGAAUCACUGGGCUUAAAGGGUGCGUAGGCGGCCUGGCAAGUUGGGUGUGAAAGCCCUCGGCUCAACCGAGGAAUUGCGCCCAAAACUGCUUGGCUAGAGUGAGAUAGAGGUGAGCGGAACUUAUGGUGGAGCGGUGAAAUGCGUUGAUAUCAUAAGGAACGCCAGUUGCGAAAGCGGCUCACUGGAUCUCUACUGACGCUGAGGCACGAAAGCUAGGGUAGCGAACAGGAUUAGAUACCCUGGUAGUCCUAGCUGUAAACGAUGAGCACUUGGUUGGAGGGUCCUCCAUAGCCUUCCGGCCGAAGCGAAAGUAUUAAGUGCUCCGCCUGGGGAGUAUGGUCGCAAGGCUG